GGGGGGGGGGGGGGGGGGGGGGGGGGGGGGGGGGGCUCCAGACCCGCCGGGGUCGCGCCUGCACCGCACCGGCGCUGCUGCGAGCCGAGGAGGGGUGUCCGUGUGCUUUGCGAGCAAGUACUGAAAGUUUUGGGCCGGAGGUUUUCCUGUGCUCUCCGUAGCUGUUGCCCAGUGCUGCCCUGAGGAAAAGCAGCGUUGGGAAGGCAGGUGCUGCCCUGAGGAGCAGUGCUGGGAAGGCUGCUGCCCCUUUUCCUGCGGGGUGUCAGGGCGAGGCUCCUCACAAGGCCUGCAGUG
rnacentral:lncRNA from 1 species